GAACAGGUGAGUGCUGUGAGCCAGCUC
rnacentral:piRNA from 1 species